UACGUAGGUGGCGAGCGUUGUCCGGAUUUACUGGGCGUAAAGGGCGUGCAGGCGGUUUGUUAAGUGCAGGGUGAAAGCUCCCGGCUCAACUGGGAGAGGUCCUUGCAUACUGGCGAACUCGAGGGAGGCAGAGGAAAGUGGAAUUCCCGGUGUAGUGGUGAUAUGCGUAGAUAUCGGGAGGAACACCUGUGGCGAAGGCGGCUUCCUGGCCUGUUCUUGACGCUGAGGCGCGAAAGCUAGGGGAGCAAACAGG
rnacentral:rRNA from 1 species